rnacentral:lncRNA from 1 species
GCCUCGUCCAUCUUACGGUGAGUCUCUAAACGCGGAGGAAAAUGCCGGAUCCAGCCAAGUCUGCUCCUGCUCCAAAGAAGGGCUCGAAGAAAGCUGUCACGAAAGUCCAGAAGAAAGAUGGCAAGAAGCGCAAGCGCAGCCGUAAGGAAAGCUACUCUGUCUACGUGUACAAGGUGCUGAAGCAAGUGCACCCGGACACCGGCAUCUCAUCUAAGGCCAUGGGUAUCAUGAAUUCCUUCGUGAACGACAUCUUCGAGCGCAUCGCAGGUGAGGCCUCCCGUCUGGCGCAUUACAACAAGCGCUCGACCAUCACUUCCCGGGAGAUACAGACGGCCGUGCGUCUGCUGCUUCCCGGGGAGUUGGCUAAACAUGCUGUGUCGGAGGGCACCAAGGCUGUGACCAAGUACACCAGCUCCAAGUGAGGUGCAGCAAAGACGUGAUUGAUCGGCUUUACCCAAAAGGCUCUUUUCAGAGCCACUUUAGUUCUCGAAGAAAGGGCUGUAAUCACUAAGGGCCUGUAUGGUCUAGCAGGUAAGGUCUGGUCGUGAGUCUAACCCUGCAACACUGCAAUAUCGAGUGUUUCCAAGUGUAAGGUGAGGUGGAGGUUGUCUCAUCACGUAUCAGAUUGAGGUGAGAUGUAAAUUUAUGGCCGGGGAACUAUCUUCCCAUU